rnacentral:rRNA from 1 species
GACGAACGCUGGCGGCGUGCCUAAUACAUGCAAGUAGAACGCUGAAGGAGGAGCUUGCUUCUCUGGAUGAGUUGCGAACGGGUGAGUAACGCGUAGGUAACCUGCCUGGUAGCGGGGGAUAACUAUUGGAAACGAUAGCUAAUACCGCAUAAUAGCAGUUAUUGCAUGAUAACUGUUUGAAAGGUGCAAUUGCACCACUACCAGAUGGACCUGCGUUGUAUUAGCUAGUUGGUGGGGUAACGGCUCACCAAGGCGACGAUACAUAGCCGACCUGAGAGGGUGAUCGGCCACACUGGGACUGAGACACGGCCCAGACUCCUACGGGAGGCAGCAGUAGGGAAUCUUCGGCAAUGGACGGAAGUCUGACCGAGCAACGCCGCGUGAGUGAAGAAGGUUUUCGGAUCGUAAAGCUCUGUUGUAAGAGAAGAACGAGUGUGAGAGUGGAAAGUUCACACUGUGACGGUAUCUUACCAGAAAGGGACGGCUAGCUACGUG